GUGCUCGCUUCAGCAGCACAUAUACUAAAAUUGGAACGAUACAGAGAAGAUUAGCAUGGCCCCUGCGCAAGGGUGACACGCAAAUUCGUCCAUUUUGAU
rnacentral:snRNA from 1 species